AGUGAACGCUGGCGGUAGGCCUAACACAUGCAAGUCGAACGGCAGCACAGUAAGAGCUUGCUCUUACGGGUGGCGAGUGGCGGACGGGUGAGGAAUACAUCGGAAUCUACUUUUUCGUGGGGGAUAACGUAGGGAAACUUACGCUAAUACCGCAUACGACUUACGGGUGAAAGCAGGGGAUCUUCGGACCUUGCGCGAUUGAAUGAGCCGAUGUCGGAUUAGCUAGUUGGCGGGGGAAAGGCCCACCAAGGCGACGAUCCGUAGCUGGUCUGAGAGGAUGAUCAGCCACACUGGAACUGAGACACGGUCCAGACUCCUACGGGAGGCAGCAGUGGGGAAUAUUGGGCGAUGGGCGCAAGCCUGAUCCAGCCAUACCGCGUGGGUGAAGAAGGCCUUCGGGUUGUAAAGCCCUUUUGUUGGGAAAGAAAAGCAGCAGGUUAAUACCCCGCUGUUCUGACGGUACCCAAAGAAUAAGCACCGGCUAACUUCGUG
rnacentral:rRNA from 1 species